rnacentral:lncRNA from 1 species
GGCACCUCCUCGAGGCGAGACUCUGGAGCAAGAACCUCGAUCGGGGGGCUUCUUGAAGAAGGUCGGAGGACUGCGGGCUCGACGUCAGAGGGGGCAUCAACGGCAAUGGUCGCCUGGGCAGGCACGGUCGAGCUCGUCUCUCCUACCCUCGCUUUCUUCGUCGAUCCAGAAGUUACGGUGCCUUUCCUCUUGUGGGCCCUG